rnacentral:rRNA from 1 species
GAGCCGGGGUCGCCCGAUCGGACCCCGGACGUGAAGUCGACGAUGGUCGGUGGGCUGGUUUUGGUAAGCAGAACGGGCGAUUCGGGAUGAACCGGAAGCGGGGAGAAAGGGCCCGAGAUUGCGUCGACGCGGAUCCCGAAAAGGGCGUCGAUCCGUCGCGACAGCGGGACGGUGGUCAUGGAAGUCGAAAUCCGCUAAGAAGCGUGUAAAAACGUACCCGCCCAACGGAUCGGCCCCGAAAAUUGAUGGCGCUCGAACGCAACCCUCGAACCCCGCCGACGGAGGCUAGGGGAGGCCCCGUCGAGUAGGCGGACGCGCGGGUCGCUUCGACGCUCCCGCGCGAGCGGGGGCGGAGCGGCCCGUGGUGCAGAUCUUGGUGGUAGUAGCGAUCACCCAGGCGAGAACCCUGAGGGCCGAAGUGGAGAAGGGUUUUCUCGAGAACGGCACUCGCUCGAGAGUUAGUCGAUCCUAAGCUGCCGGCGGCAGCCACGAAACGGUCGAUCGGGCGCGAGCCCGGCAGCCACGACCGGGCAGCG